CUGCCUCCAGCACCCGCCUGUGAGACUCGGGCAUCACCUGGUUACCCUGGGCUGUCCCCCAGGCUCCCCCUAAGACCAGGAAUCCACCAGAAACCAGGCAGCCCCCCUUUUCGAGGCCGGAUCCUGCUCUCUGGAGGGAAGGUCAGACUCCUGUCACACCGCUGGUCUCAGGAUCGUGUCAAGGCCUGACGUCAACCCUGAAAGCUGUAUGUGCAGCUUGCACAUACACAUAUAAGCCCCCAAACACAAGAGGGACUGUUCUACACGAUCAUGGGGAUGUGGGGAAACCAUCCCGGAGUCAUCUUCCAGGACCCUACAAUUGCUACAUCAGCCUUUCGAGGAGCACAAGCACCGACAGCAUAAACACAGUGCAAUAAACCUUCUUUUGCUGACCGUGCGAGAUUGCCAAAGUCCAUUGGAUUUUUAUCCAAGCAGGUGGGACCGAGUGCGGGCCUUCAGCCUACAUUCACACUGCUGGUCUGCACCUUGGAGAAGAAGGUAAGGAAUAAAUUCACUCACACUGUUUGGAUGCCUGUAUAGUCCCAGGUACUAUGCUCAUGUUGA